CCCCUCUGGGACCCCCUGGUGCCCAUCACAGCCCCCUCUGUAAACCCCCUGCGUUGCUGCAGCUCCCCUAUGGGAGCUCGCCCUGCUGCAGGCCUGGAUGUGCUUUGCUAACAUCUGUGUGCCAAGGGGGGUCCUUGACAUCCUUUCCCCACCCUCCAGCCGUGUUCUCCUGCUGCUGCACGGCCCUUUGAGGCUGUACCCACUGCUGGGCCGUACACAGAAAGUGGCACACCCAGCUCAAUUUGGCACUGCGUGGAUUCUUUGCAAACCAGCUUUUAACUAAUCAAGGCUAAGAGGAUUGUUCUCCGUUUCUAAGUUUGAACAGAAGUUCUUGGAAAACCUUUCCCUGCUGCAUCUCUCCCUGCUCUGAAGGACAGCAGCAUGGACUCCAACCUGGCGAGGCUCUGCACUCCUCUUCCCCUUUGCAGAUCUUCUUCGUUUCUGGCUGAAGCACGGCACAGAACACGAAUACAAGUGGGGUUUCGGAGGGCUCUGUGCUGCCUUAUGACCCUGAUAAUCCUGGGGCCCAUCUGAUUCGUGGUUCCCCUCAUUCUGCUCCUCCUGCUUCCAGGGGUGCCCAUUCCCACAGCAAAGCCUGUGCUGCAGCACUGAGAAGUGGUGCCACUGAGAGCCCCCCAUGCUUGGAGGGGUGUGGAAAUGCUAUCCAUAGCCCUUUCUGCUGCCCUUAGUGCCACAGAGGCACUUGCUGCUCCAAUGGGGACAUGGCAGGAUGUGCUGAGAGUGAUCUCCAAGCAGGUUUAGUGAUGGCCAGGACAGUUGCAGAAAUGUAGAAUGAUACAAAGGUUGGGUUGGAAGCAGCUCCCCAGGCCCCCUGCCGUGGGAUGGGUGCCCUCCCCAAAUUAAAUCUGCCCAGGGCCCCAUUUAUGGCCUCGAGCACCUCCAGGAAUGGGGCACCCACAGCUCUGGGCAGCAGUGUGAGGGCUGCAUCACUCAGUUAUGGGUUCCUGGUGCAGAAGUGGGGUGGUGCCCCCAGUCCCCAUCCAGGUCUGCCCCUACUAUUUUGCUGCACAGAAGGCUCGGCCUUGGCAGUGUGUUUCUUUAAAGCACAGAACCCCAGAACCAUGGGGGCUGGAAAGGACCUGUGCAGCUCCCCCACUGCAACCCCCCAGCAGUUCCCUGCACAGAGAACGUCCCAGCAGGUUUGGAUCUCUGCACAGAUCCCCCACCUCUCUGGGCAGCUGUGCCAGGGCUCUGCCACCCUCACAGCACACAGCUCUUCCUCACACUCACACACGACUCCCUGGGCUCCAGUCUGGGCCCGCUGCCCCUUGUCCUGGUGCUGGGCACCACCAAACACAGCCCGGCCCCCUCCUCCUGACCCCUUGUGCUGUGGGUCUUUGGCAGCCUGACUUCUGUCCUUGGCCAUUUACAGCCUUUCAUGGCAUCCUUCAGAGCUGGCCACCAACUCCAUCAUCCCGUGUGUGCUGGUGUUGGAGAACCUCCGUGCUGUCUGUGACCAUGUGAGGCUGAUAGGGCACCCCAUGCACGCCUUUCCUCUUGGAAUCAUAGAACUGUGGAAUCAUCCAGAUUGGAAAAGCCCUCCAAGAUCAUCCAGUCCAACCACUGAUCCAUCCCACCAUGCCCAUCUGUCCCCAAGUGCCACAUCCCCAUGUUCCUUGUAAACCCCAAGAUACGUGGACUCCCCAUUGCUCUGGGCAACCUGUGCCAGUGCUGACUGCUCUUUUGGAGAAGAAAUGCUACUUAAUAUCUAACCUGACCCUUCCCUGGCACAUCUUGAGGCCAUCACCUCUCCUCAAGCUCACCUGGAAACGGCUGGGCACUGCUGGCAUUUGCAAGAGACAGCUUCCAUCCAGCGAGCUCCUGCUAGGAGCAAGCAGCUCAUUGAGCAGAGAACAUCAGAGCUGGACGUGUCUCUCAGUCCCUGUCCUCAUCCCCUGCCUCAUCCAGGUGUCGUGUGGCUGCUGCAUUGCAUCACAGCCAGCAGUGAGCGUGCUGCGCCGUCGGAGCAGAUGUGGUGAACCCUUCUUCUGUCUCACACUCACCGCAGUUCCAUCACAGUUCUGGACUUUGCUAUUUACUUUGUCUGAGGCAAAAAAAUAGGCAUGGCUUUUCUGCUUCGUGCUUCCUUGUUGUCUGUAGGGCACUCGGGAAUCGUUCCAAGGAAGAGGAAAGUUGUGCUUUUUUUUCCCAAGGGUCGAAAAUCAUCCAGCCAAAAAAUCCGUGGAAUCUAAACAGCGGCAUUCUCGUCCUUCUGGGAGCUGCUGGGUGGCUCUGAGGCGUUCCUGAGUUGUCAGAAGCCCUUCAGCUUUUGGGCUGAAACUAAGGCAAUUUGGGAAAAUGGGGCCGACCUCACUGUGAGGGGCUUGUGUGGUGCCUUACGGUGUGGUCACAUCAGCACUGAAUGGCUCAUGCAAGGAGAGCAGUUUCUGGUGUUGUAGCUUCUGUGCCUGCUUGCUGACAGCAUUUCCAGACAGAAAUCUUUGUGGUUUUUCAGUGGAAGCUCCUCCACAGACACAGGACGUGAGCACUUCUUGCUCUGAGAGCAUUGCUCCUGCCCACUUGGUGAGGUCUCCAAACAGGGUGCGUGGUUUUUUGGGUGUCAGCGUAGCUUUGAGCUGGGAGCUUUGAGCUGCACCAGCGAGGUGUGUGUGGCAGCAGCGAGGGUUGCUGCUGAUGCUGAAGGUUGUAGGGCUGUUGUAGGGCUGUGCCUGCUGGUUCUUCCUGCUCUGGUGUGCUGGUGCAAUUCCUCCUCCGCAGCCUGUAGCCUUUGUCCAUGCAUCACCCUGCAGGAGGAUUGUGCAGGUCUGCCUUGCAUACAUGGAAUCACAGGAUGGUUUAAGUAAGAAGGACCUUCAUAGAAUCACAGAAUAAUUUGGGUUGGAAGGGACCAUAGGAUAACAGAAUGGUUUGGGUUGGAAGGGAUACUUCCUAGAAUCGUAGAAUGAUUUGGGUUGGAAGGAAUGGUUGGAAGGUUCAUGGAAUCAUAAAAUGAUUUCAGUUAGAAGGGACCAUAGGUUUACAGAAUGGUUUGGGUUGGAAGGGACCUUCAUGGAAUCAUAAAAUGAUUCCAGUUAGAAGGGACCAUAGGAUUACAGAAUGGUUUGGGUUGGAAGGGACCUUCAUGGAAUCAUAAAAUGAUUUCAGUUAGAAGGGACCAUAGGAUUACAGAAUGGUUUGGGUUGGAAGGAACCUUCAUGGAAUCAUAAAAUGAUUUCAGUUAGAAGGGACCAUAGGGAAACGAUGGAAUGAUUUGAGUUGGAAGGGACCUUGAUGGAAUCAUAGAAUGAUUUGCGUUGGAAAGGAUCUUCAUAGGAUCACAGAACGUGUGUUGAGUUGAAAGGGACCUUUAUAGGAUCACAGGAUGGGUUGAGUUGGAAGGGACCUUCAUGGAGUCACAAAAUGGUUUGGGUUCUGUAGUGUUGGUUCUGGGAAUGCUGCUCUUGUCUUCCACAGAGUUGUGCCCAUCUUCCAGGGAGAGCACUGAACCAUCACUUAUCUUUCCUGAAGGCUUGGAGCCGUGUCAGGAGAGGACCAGGUGGGGGUUAAGGAAAGGUUCUGCACCAGAAGCUGGUGGGCAUGGAACAGGUUCCCCUGUGGGCAGUGGGCAUGGCCCCAAGAUGACAGAGCUCAGGGAGCAUUUGAACAGUGCUCUGAGACAUUGGGGUUGGGUGGAGCGAGGAGUUGGACUCAGUGGGUCCCUUCCAACUUCAGGGAUUCUGUGGUGGUUUGGCAUAAGGAUCUGGAUAGGUGGGAUCGAAGUUAUGUGGAAGUCAGUGAGGCCAAAUGAGAGAUGUGACACUUGGGCCACAACAACCCCAUGCAGAACUACAGGUUUGUGGCAGUGGGGCUGCCCUGUUACGUUGGAGUGGAGCUGGAUGUAUGUCCUGGAGCACAUGGAGUGUGAUGAGGGGGAAUGGAGAGCAGACAAAGGUUGCAGAACUACAGUAGCUUAGAAACUGCUUCACUCACUGAGGACUGAGGGCUGGAGCUGACGUUGGGGUCAUCCUGUCCCCGCUGCCCUGUUUUCAACCUCCCUUCUGUCACCCUGAGCUCCGAAACCGCUGAGUUUUUCUGCUCUUUCCAUGGAGUCCUGAGAACAUCAGGGAAUUUUCCAGCGCUCACCAACCCAAUGCAGAUGCUGAGAAGGGGAAGGGCAGGAAAAUCCCUUGAGAUUUGGAAACCACGUGAGGAGUUCUGGGGCUGGAAUUACUCGGGAAGUCCCCAGGAAGCAGUGAAGCACUGCGGGGCUGCGUUGGCAAUGCGAGGAGUGCCACCUCCCGGAGCAUCGUGCCCUGCUUUGGGCUGGAUUAACUCUACUCCCUGAGGUUAAUGUGGGGCUGUGUUUGGAUUUAAGAGAAAUAAAGUUGCUAACAUACCGAUGCUUUAGCCUCAGCCCCACUCUUCCUGCAGCAAAGGAGGGGCAUGGGGCGACGUGCAGCCCCAUCCACACUGCUGACCCCCAUCCCCUGCCCUGUC